rnacentral:rRNA from 1 species
GACGAACGCUGGCGGCGUGCCUAAUACAUGCAAGUAGGACGCACAGUCUAUACCGUAGCUUGCUACACCAUAGGCUGUGAGUUGCGAACGGGUGAGUAACGCGUAGGUAACCUGCCUAUUAGAGGGGGAUAACUAUUGGAAACGAUAGCUAAUACCGCAUAACAGUAUGUAACACAUGUUAGAUGCUUGAAAGAUGCAAUUGCAUCGCUAGUAGAUGGACCUGCGUUGUAUUAGCUAGUAGGUAGGGUAAUGGCCUACCUAGGCGACGAUACAUAGCCGACCUGAGAGGGUGAUCGGCCACACUGGGACUGAAACACGGCCCAGACUCCUACGGGAGGCAGCAGUAGGGAAUCUUCGGCAAUGGGGGGAACCCUGACCGAGCAACGCCGCGUGAGUGAAGAAGGUUUUCGGAUCGUAAAGCUCUGUUGUUAAGGAAGAACGAGUGUGAGAAUGGAAAGUUCAUACUGUGACGGUACUUAACCAGAAAGGGACGGCUAACUACGUG